AACGAACGCUGGCGGCAUGCCUAACACAUGCAAGUCGAACGAGACCUUCGGGUCUAGUGGCGCACGGGUGCGUAACGCGUGGGAACCUGCCCUUAGGUUCGGAAUAACUCCCCGAAAGGGGUGCUAAUACCGGAUAAUGUCUUCGGACCAAAGAUUUAUCGCCUUUGGAUGGGCCCGCGUUGGAUUAGCUAGUUGGUAGGGUAAAAGCCUACCAAGGCGACGAUCCAUAGCUGGUCUGACAGGAUGAUCAGCCACACUGGGACUGAGACACGGCCCAGACUCCUACGGGAGGCAGCAGUGGGGAAUAUUGGACAAUGGGCGAAAGCCUGAUCCAGCAAUGCCGCGUGAGUGAUGAAGGCCGUAGGGUUGUAAAGCUCUUUUACCCGGGAUGAUAAUGACGGUACCGGGAGAAUAAGCUCCGGCUAACUCCGUG
rnacentral:rRNA from 1 species